CCUGCUCUGCCGCUGCGCCGCCGGCCGCGCCCUGCACGCGCAGGAGCCGCCCCGUCCGCCGAUCCUGCUGCAGGUGGGUUGGGGUGCUUCGUAUGCCUCACUGAGAUGGGCCGAGGUGGCCAGGUGGGCUUUUUUUCUUUUUCUUUUUGAUAAUAAUAUGUUUCUGUAUUUCUACUUAAGGAGAACAUACAGAUACACGAACAAAUACAGAAACACACGGCAAGGAUAC
rnacentral:lncRNA from 1 species